AACGAACGCUGGCGGCGUGCCUAACACAUGCAAGUCGAGCGCGAAUGGAGCAAUCCUAGUAGAGCGGCGCACGGGUGAGUAACACGUGGGUAAUCUGCCUGGAAGUCCGGGACAACCUGCCGAAAGGCUGGCUAAUACCGGAUAAGCCCACAGGGUCUUAGGACCCCGGGGGAAAAGAUGGCCUCUGCAUGCAAGCUAUCACUUCCAGAUGAGCCCGCGGCCCAUCAGCUCGUUGGCGGGGAAUGGCCCACCAAGGCAACGACGGGUAGCUGGUCUGAGAGGACGAUCAGCCACACUGGAACUGAGACACGGUCCAGACUCCUACGGGAGGCAGCAGUGGGGAAUUUUGCGCAAUGGGCGAAAGCCUGACGCAGCAACGCCGCGUGUGUGAUGAAGGUCUUCGGAUCGUAAAGCACUUUCGACCGGGACGAAAACUCGCUGGCCAACAUCCAGCGAUCUGACGGUACCGGGAGAAGAAGCACCGGCUAACUCUGUGCCAGCCGCCGCGGUAAAAC
rnacentral:rRNA from 1 species